UACGUAGGGAGCAAGCGUUGUCCGGAAUCAUUGGGCGUAAAGCGCGCGUAGGUGGCCCGGUAAGUCCGCUCUGAAAGUCACAGGCUCAACCUGUGAAAGCGGGUGGAUACUGCCGGGCUAGAGUCCGGAAGAGGCGAGUGGAAUUCCUGGUGUAGCGGUGGAAUGCGCAGAUAUCAGGAGGAACACCAACGGCGAAGGCAGCUCGCUGGGACGGUACUGACACUGAGGCGCGAAAGCGUGGGGAGCAAACAGG
rnacentral:rRNA from 1 species